GCGCCCAUAGCUCAAUUGGAUAGAGUACCUGACUACGGAUCAGGGGGUUGGGGGUUCAAAUCCUCCUGGGCGCGCCA
rnacentral:tRNA from 1 species